rnacentral:rRNA from 1 species
GACGAACGCUGGCGGCGUGCUUAACACAUGCAAGUCGGACGGAAAGGCCUCUUUCGGGGGGUACUCGAGUGGCGAACGGGUGAGUAACACGUGAGUAACCUGCCCUUGACUUUGGGAUAACUUCAGGAAACUGGGGCUAAUACCGGAUAGGAGCUCCUGCUGCAUGGUGGGGGUUGGAAAGUUUCGGCGGUUGGGGAUGGACUCGCGGCUUAUCAGCUUGUUGGUGGGGUAGUGGCUUACCAAGGCUUUGACAGGUAGCCGGCCUGAGAGGGUGACCGGCCACAUUGGGACUGAGAUACGGCCCAGACUCCUACGGGAGGCAGCAGUGGGGAAUAUUGCACAAUGGGUGGAAGCCUGAUGCAGCAACGCCGUGUGCGGGAUGACGGCCUUCGGGUUGUAAACCGCUUUCGCUCAUGACGAAGCUUUGUGUGACGGUAGUGGGUAAAGAAGCACCGGCUAACUACGUG